AGAUUGAACGCUGGCGGCAUGCCUAACACAUGCAAGUCGAACGGGAGUAGCAAUACUCUAGUGGCGGACGGGUGAGGAAUACGUAGGAAUUUGCCCUUAAGUGGGGGAUAACCCGGGGAAACCCGGAUUAAUACCGCAUGACCUCGAAAGAGCAAAGUGGGGGAUCGCAAGACCUCACGCUUUUGGAGAAGCCUACGUCGGAUUAGCUAGUUGGUGAGGUAAUGGCUCACCAAGGCGACGAUCCGUAACUGGUCUGAGAGGAUGAUCAGUCACACCGGAACUGAGACACGGUCCGGACUCCUACGGGAGGCAGCAGUGGGGAAUAUUGGACAAUGGGCGCAAGCCUGAUCCAGCAAUGCCGCGUGUGUGAAGAAGGCCUUGGUUGUAAGACACUUAAGUUAGGUAA
rnacentral:rRNA from 1 species